UACGUAGGGGGCAAGCGUUGUCCGGAUUUACUGGGUGUAAAGGGCGCGCAGGCGGGUCGGUAAGUCAGUGGUGAAAUCCUACAGCUUAACUGUAGAACUGCCUUUGAUACUGCCGAUCUUGAGUUCGGAAGAGAGAGACGGAAUUCCAGGUGUAGUGGUGAAAUACGUAGAUAUCUGGAAGAACACCAGUUGCGUAGGCGGUCUCUUGGUCCGAUACUGACGCUGAGGCGCGAAAGCGUGGGGAGCAAAC
rnacentral:rRNA from 1 species